GCUACAAAGGAACAAGUAACAGGUUAAUUCCAUGCUGAAAAGAGAAGAAAGAAAACACAACGUUUCAGAUGUGGAGCCAUCUCUGGGUUUAAGAAAGACAUGGCAGAUGGGCCAUAGCAAUAGAGCAGAAAUCGCUGUCUUUUUUUCCCCAAUGCGUUCUCUCAUGCCAUGUUCAGAGGGUCAUAUUUUAAAAAUGGUACAGCAAAUGUUCUUCUGCCUCAGGAGUUUGACAAUCUGUAACAUUGUCUCUCACACCUCGGCGUCAGAAUUGGGAAAUGAUUUUAUAAUCAGGGGGGAGGGCCCACAGUAAUAAGAAGAAAGUGCAAUCACCUUUUCCCAGGGCAAGUUUUGUGUUAUUGUGAGUUUUUUAAAUUGGUGUUCGAGUUUCUGAAAUAUAUUCCAUACAUAAAUACAAUUUGAACAGUCACUAGUUAUUUGGAUAUUCCUUUUCACCGAGGACAUCUACAGUAUUCCACCCGGAUCAGUACUGACCGAGGAGCGCCAUCUACAAACGAAAGGCGACAUAACACCACAGCAGAGGCAUUGAAGGUGAAACGAAAAACGCGAAUAAGAAGCCAACUUCAGCCUCGUCUAAACUGGAGCAUCAUUAACCAGAGUUUGACACCCCUGAUAUGAGUCUAUGGUCGAUUUGCCAUGAGGGCGAGAACUGCUGCGGCCGUGACUCUUGAGUUUGAACACACAGCGAGAAAACAGGAACUGAUCACUCGUCCCACAAAGACGAUUUCCGGGUCAAGCUGCGCUUCCAUAGCGAUUGUUGCUAUGAAACAGAAAAGGGGCUACUGCGCUGUGGACUGUUAUUGCCAAAUCGCCGCCGACUUUGCUCAGUUAAAUGUAUCAAAGACAGUUGUAAAAGGGUUUCAGAAAUAAAAGAAUGUUGUAAUUUUGAA